AUGGAGCCUUGAGAAUAUCACGGUAAGAAUUUAAGCUUUAGUUUUCUUUGCAAUAUUUUCUCAGUACUGGUGUUUGAUGUGGGUUGUUUUUUUUUAAUGUUUGAGAGAGAAAGAGUGCAAGUGGGGGAGGGACAGAGAGGGAGAGACACACACAGAGUCCAAAGUGGGCACCAGGUCUUACCUGUCACCACAGAGCCCCAUGGGAGGGUAGAACCCACGAAGAGUGAGAUCAUGCAUGACCUGAGCCAAAGUCAGACACUCAACCAACUGAGCCACCUAGGCGCCCCUUGAUGUGCGUUUUGAUUCACCUAAGGAUAAAUAUGGGGACUUCUGAUGUCUAAUUGACUUUUUAACUCUUGAAAUUCAUCUUUCUCUUCCCUGUUUGGAGCCUAAGUGACAAUGUGGAGGGAGUUGCCAUCUCUUAAGACAUCAGGAGGAGGAACACAUCACCAGAGUAGAGGGAAUGAAAUUAGUGUAAUUUUACAUAGAAAUGAUUAGGAAACAAGUGAUGAUAUGAGCCUGAGGUUUGGAGUGAGUACUUUGCCAUGACCUGGCUCUUCGUGAAAUGUGAAGAUGAGAAAACUCUCUAUCUACAAGCCCAUCAAGAAGCCUGAGCUUAGAGACAAAGCCAGAUAUUGCCAGGCAGGGUGUGUGUCACAAGAGAGGUUUAAACCAUGGUUCUGAGUCUGAGGUGGAGGAAGCCGUUCAUGCCAGGGGAGAAUGAGUGGAGAUGAGAUUUUUGCAAAUGCGGGUAAUGUAUUCUGCACAGGCUCCAUAGACUGUGGUGAUCCUGUGGCGCUGUCUGUUGAGAGCCAGGGUGGCUGCCUGACACUUAACGAGCCCUCAAAGGCUGGUUGUUCAUCCCUUUGAAUGCAGUGGCGGUGGUGGGGAGAAGAGUGAUCUCAGGACAUGAGAGCUCUCACACUGGGCCAACAAAAGAGAAGUUUGCACUUUCUGGUCAGAUGACAGAAUCAGUCCCUGUUAGAGGAGUCUGUUCUAGAGCUUACAUGUGUUGCCUGUAAUUGGGUCCUUCGUGUGUGUUGAAUAAUAUUCCUUUAAGGUUGGAGGCUAACAUUCUCACGUUGGGAUGAAAAAAGUUUGUCUUCUAGGAAUUGCCAUUAAUCCACAUCCUCCAGCCACUAAGUGUAAAGCUGAGAUGGUACCCGUAUGUUUGAUUCCAAAGACCUUGUCCUCCAGGGCCCCCGGCCUAGGGUUCACGAAGGGCAACCUGUGAGCAGCAGGAAGUCAUCCAAGGCCUUCGAGUAGUCAGUCAGUCAGCAGCAGUUUGAGCUUUCCUUGUGUGGAAUUCCAAAUAGCACCUGGGAGUGUGAGUGGCUCAAAUCGAGACUAAAGGAUGGUUUUGUUUGUUCCAUUAUUUGCAGGGACCUAUUUAUGUACCUUAAUAAUUGGAGGAGAGAAAUGUAAGUUGAUAGGAUUUGAUUUUUGUUUCAUCUCUGGUGGUGACAUAAGUAUUUGAAGUGAUUGGAUUUUCUAAGAAGGGUGCUUCCAGAUGGGAGAGAAAUGAGAAGAUAUUUUAUUGUGUUUCUCCAUUUUGGACAAUAUUUUAAAUAGGAAUCUCAUUGAAAUAAGGUUUUCUUAGGUUUAACAUGCUGCUAAAACUUGAUUUCUUCAGGCACAACGGGAAAGCUAAAAUGUUAGUUACACCCACCUGUCAGAUCAUGUGUGCUGCUAAUACACUGGGAUUAUUUGAGGUCACUGGUUUGGUAACAGCCUUAGAACAUGUUUUGUCUCCUUUUAGUUAGUUUACAGUGAAUAAUUGAGAAGAUCAAUACUUUUAAGAAAGAAAACAGAGAACUUCAUUGCUGAAAAAAUAUCCAUUUGGGAACAGAAG